rnacentral:tRNA from 1 species
AAGAUUUUAAGUUAAAAAAACUAAUAACCUUCAAAGUUAUAAAUAAAAUAAAAAUUUUAAAUCUUA